UAUUGCACAAUGGGCGCAAGCCUGAUGCAGCCAUGCCGCGUGUGUGAAGAAGGCCUUCGGGUUGUAAAGCACUUUCAGUCAGGAGGAAAGGUUAGUAGUUAAUACCUGCUAGCUGUGACGUUACUGACAGAAGAAGCACCGGCUAACUCCGUGCCAGCAGCCGCGGUAAUACGGAGGGUGCGAGCGUUAAUCGGAAUUACUGGGCGUAAAGCGUACGCAGGCGGUUUGUUAAGCGAGAUGUGAAAGCCCCGGGCUCAACCUGGGAACUGCAUUUCGAACUGGCAAACUAGAGUGUGAUAGAGGGUGGUAGAAUUUCAGGUGUAGCGGUGAAAUGCGUAGAGAUUUGAAGGAAUACCGAUGGCGAAGGCAGCCACCUGGGUCAACACUGACGCUCAUUACGAGA
rnacentral:rRNA from 1 species